UACGGAGGGUGCGAGCGUUGUCCGGAAUCACUGGGCGUAAAGGGCGUGUAGGCGGCUUCUCAAGCGUGCGGUGAAAGUCCGGGGCUCAACCCCGGAUCUGCCGUGCGGACUGGUUUGCUAGAGCACUGUAGAGGCGAGUGGAAUUCCGGGUGUAGCGGUGGAAUGCGUAGAGAUCCGGAAGAACACCGGUGGCGAAGGCGGCUCGCUGGGCAGUGGCUGACGCUGAGGCGCGACAGCGUGGGGAGCAAACAGG
rnacentral:rRNA from 1 species